AUUGAACGCUGGCGGCAGGCCUAACACAUGCAAGUCGAGCGGAUGAAGGGAGCUUGCUCCUGGCUUCAGCGGCGGACGGGUGUGUAAUGCCUAGGAAUCUGCCGGGGAGUGGGGGAUAACGUCCGGAAACGGGCGCUAAUACCGCAUACGUCCUGAGGGAGAAAGGGGGGGAUCUUCGGACCUCUCGCUAUCGGAUGAGCCUAGGUCGGAUUAGCUAGUUGGUGGGGUAAAGGCCUACCAAGGCGACGAUCCGUAACUGGUCUGAGAGGAUGAUCAGUCACACUGGAACUGAGACACGGUCCAGACUCCUACGGGAGGCAGCAGUGGGGAAUAUUGGACAAUGGGCGAAAGCCUGAUCCAGCCAUGCCGCGUGUGUGAAGAAGGUCUUCGGAUUGUAAAGCACUUUAAGUUGGGAGGAAGGGCAGUAAGUUAAUACCUUGCUGUUUUGACGUUACCAACAGAAUAAGCACCGGCUAACUUCGUG
rnacentral:rRNA from 1 species